rnacentral:rRNA from 1 species
CAAUCAAACCGGGAGAUAGCUGGUUCUCCCCGAAAGCUAUUUAGGUAGCGCCUCGUGAAUUCAUCUCCGGGGGUAGAGCACUGUUUCGGCUAGGGGGCCAUCCCGGCUUACCAACCCGAUGCAAACUGCGAAUACCGGAGAAUGUUAUCACGGGAGACACACGGCGGGUGCUAACGUCCGUCGUGAAGAGGGAAACAACCCAGACCGCCAGCUAAGGUCCCAAAGUCAUGGUUAAGUGGGAAACGAUGUGGGAAGGCCCAGACAGCCAGGAUGUUGGCUUAGAAGCAGCCAUCAUUUAAAGAAAGCGUAAUAGCUCACUGGUCGAGUCGGCCUGCGCGGAAGAUGUAACGGGGCUAAACCAUGCACCGAAGCUGCGGCAGCGAACGUAUCACUUAAAGCGAUUCAGCGGGUUACGAUUGACGGAGCGAAGCGACGUCAAAGCGUAUACAAAGUCGAGUCGGUUUAAGGAUACGUUCGUUGGGUAGGGGAGCGUUCUGUAAGCCUGUGAAGGUGGCCUGUGAGGGUUGCUGGAGGUAUCAGAAGUGCGAAUGCUGACAUAAGUAACGAUAAAGCGGGUGAAAAGCCCGCUCGCCGGAAGACCAAGGGUUCCUGUCCAACGUUAAUCGGGGCAGGGUGAGUCGACCCCUAAGGCGAGGCCGAAAGGCGUAGUCGAUGGGAAACGGGUUAAUAUUCCCGUACUUGGUGUUACUGCGAAGGGGGGACGGAGAAGGCUAUGUUGGCCGGGCGACGGUUGUCCCGGUUUAAGCGUGUAGGUGUGUGUUCCAGGUAAAUCCGGUU